AGGGUUCGAUUCUGGCUCAGGAUGAACGCUAGCUACAGGCUUAACACAUGCAAGUCGAGGGGCAGCAGAUCGAUAGCUUGCUAUUGAUGCUGGCGACCGGCGCACGGGUGAGUAACGCGUAUCCAACCUUCCCUAUAGUAGAGGAUAGCCCGGCGAAAGUCGGAUUAAUACUCUAUGUUUUCCAAUGCAGACAUCUAAGUUGGAACAAAGGUUCACCGCUAUAGGAUGGGGAUGCGUCUGAUUAGGUUGUUGGCGGGGUAACGGCCCACCAAGCCUACGAUCAGUAGGGGUUCUGAGAGGAAGGUCCCCCACAUUGGAACUGAGACACGGUCCAAACUCCUACGGGAGGCAGCAGUGAGGAAUAUUGGUCAAUGGGCGAGAGCCUGAACCAGCCAAGUAGCGUGCAGGAUGACGGCCCUAUGGGUUGUAAACUGCUUUUAUACGGGGAUAAAGUGAGGGACGUGUCCCUUUUUGUAGGUACCGCAUGAAUAAGGACCGGCUAAUUCCGUGCCAGCCGCUGC
rnacentral:rRNA from 1 species